rnacentral:rRNA from 1 species
AGAGUUUGAUCCUGGCUCAGGAUGAACGCUAGCGGCAGGCUUAAUACAUGCAAGUCGUGGGGCAGCAGGUUUGUAGCAAUACAGAUGCUGGCGACCGGCAAACGGGUGCGGAACACGUACAGAACCUUCCUUUAAGUGGGGAAUAGCCCAGAGAAAUUUGGAUUAAUACCCCGUAACAUUAUGAAGUGGCAUCACCUUAUAAUUAUAGAUUUAUCGCUUAGAGAUGGCUGUGCGGCUGAUUAGGUAGUUGGCGGGGUAACGGCCCACCAAGCCUGCGAUCAGUAACUGGUGUGAGAGCACGACCAGUCACACGGGCACUGAGACACGGGCCCGACUCCUACGGGAGGCAGCAGUAAGGAAUAUUGGUCAAUGGACGAAAGUCUGAACCAGCCAUGCCGCGUGAAGGAUGAAGGUCCUCUGGAUUGUAAACUUCUUUUAUCUGNGACGAAACACUCUUAUUCUUAAGAGCUAAA